CUCAUGGAGAGUUUGAUCCUUGCUCAGGAUGAACACUGGCGGCAUGCUUAACACAUGCAAGUCGGACGGGAAGUGGUGUUUCCAGUGGUAGACGGGUGAGUAACGCGUAAGAACCUGCCCUUGGGAGGGGAACAACAGCUGGAAACGGUUGCUAAUACCCCAUAGGCUGAGGAGAAAAAGGAGGAAUCCACCCAAGGAGGGGCUCGUGUCUGAUUAGUUAGUUGGUGAGGCAAUGGCUUACCAAGGUGACGAUCAAUAGCUGGUCCGAGAGGAUGAUCAGCCACACUAGGACUGAGACACGGCCCAGACUCCUAUGGGAGGCAGCAGUGGGGAAUUUUUCGCAAUGGGUGAAAGCCUGAUGGAGAAAUGUCAUGUAAGGAUCGGAUAACAAUGAUGGUAUCUGAGGAAUAAGCAUCGGAUAACUUUGUGCCAGCAACCGCGGUAAGACAGAGGAUGCAAGCGUUAUCCGAAAUGAUUGGGCGUAAAGCAUGUGUAGGUGGCUUUUCAAGUCCGCCAUCAAAUCCCAGGGCUCAACCCUGGACAGGCAGUGGAAACUACCAAGCUGGAGUACGAUAGGGGUAGAGGGAAUUUCCGGUGGAGCGGUGAAAUGCGUUGAGAUCGGAAAGAACACCAACGGCAAAAGCACUAUGUUGGGCCGACACUGACACUGAGAGAUGAAAGAUAGGGGAGAAAAUGGGAUUAGAUACCCCAGUAGUCCUAGCCGUAAACGAUGGAUACUAAAUGUUGUGCGUAUCAACCCACGCAGUGUUGUAGCUAACGCGUUAAGUAUCCCGCCUGGGGAGUAUGUUCGCAAGAAUGAAACUCAAAGGAAUUGAUGGGGGCCCGCACAAGUGGUGGAGCAUGUGGUUCCAUUCGAUGCAAAGUGAAGAACCUUACCAGGGCUUGACAUGCCGUGAAUCCUCCUGAAAGAGAGGAGUGCCUUCAGGAAAGCGGACACAGGUGGUGCAUGGUUAUCAUCAGCUCAUGCCGUAAGGUGUUGGGUUAAGUCCCGCAAUGAGCACAACCCUCGUGUUUAGUUGCCAGUAUUGAGUUUGGAACCCUGAACAGACUACCGGUGAUAAGCCAGAGGAAGGUGAGGAUGAUGUCAAGUCAUCAUGCCCCUUACGCCCUGGGCGACACAUGUGCUACAAUGACUAGGAAAAAUGGUCGCGACCCCGCGAGGGCAAGCUAACCUCAAAAACCCGGCCUCAGUUCAGAUUGCAGGCUGCAACUCGCCUGCAUGAAGCCAGAAUCGCUAGUAAUCGUCGGUUAGCCAUACGGCGGUGAAUCCAUUCCCGAGCCUUGUACACACCGCCCGUCACACUAUGGGAGCUGGCCAUGCCCCAAGUCAUUACCUUAAUCGCAAGGAGGGGGAUGCCGAAGGCUGGU
rfam:Picea glauca, whole genome shotgun sequence.